CCUACGGGUGGCAGCAGUGAGGAAUAUUGCACAAUGGACGCAAGUCUGAACCAGCCAUGCCGCGUGCAUGAUGACGGCUCUCUGAGUUGUAAACUGCUUUUGUACGAGGGUAAUAUCUGAUACGUGUAUCUGCUUGAAAGUAUCGUACGCAUAAGGAUCGGCUAACUCCGUGCCAGCAGCCGCGGUGAUAUGGUGGAUCCAAGCGUUAUCCGGAUUUAUUGGGUUUAAAGGGUGCGUAGGCGGUUUUAUAAGUUAGAGGGGAAAAUUCGGGGCUCAACUCCGGACGUGCCUCUAAUACUGGAUGACUAGAGAAUAGAAGCGGGAGGUGGAAUGUAAGGUGUAGCGGUGAAAUGCGUAGAGAUUAGACAGAACACCGAUUGCGAAGGCAGCUUA
rnacentral:rRNA from 1 species